GGCUCGGUAGCUUAUUGGUAAAGCGCUCGUCUAGCAUACAAGAGUGCUGGGUUCAAAUCCCAGCCGAGCAC
rnacentral:tRNA from 2 species